rnacentral:rRNA from 1 species
AGCUCCAAUAGCGUAUAUUAAAGUUGCUGCGGUUAAAAAGCUCGUAGUUGGAUUUCUGUCGAGGACAACCGGUCCGCCCUCUGGGUGAGCAUCUGGCUUUGCCUUGUCAUUACCUUUGGAACCGCUACUGCGCUUGAUUGUGUGGUGUGACACCCAAGGAUUUUACUUUGAGGAAAUCAGAGUGCUCCCAGCAGGUGUUUGCCUUGAAUACACUAGCAUGGAAUAAUGUGCAAGACUUUGGUUUUAGCUUGUUGGUUUUUUAGAAUUGAAGUAAUGAAUGAUAGGGAUAGUUGGGGGCAUUUGUAUUUAACUGUCAGAGGUGAAAUUCUUGGAUUUGAUAAGGACAAACAAUUGCGAAAGCAUUUGCCAAGGAUGUUUUCU